CCUACGGGUGGCAGCAGUGGGGAAUAUUGCGCAAUGGGCGCAAGCCUGACGCAGCGACGCCGCGUGAGGGAUGAAGGUCUUCGGAUCGUAAACCUCUGUCCUCAGGGACGAACGGUCACUGUGCUAAUCAGCAGUGAAUUGCCGGUACCUGCCAAGCAAGCACCGGCUAACUCCGUGCCAGCAGCGGCUGUAAUACGGAGGGUGCGAGCGUUAAUCGGAAUUACUGGGCGUAAAGCGAUCGUAGGCGGUAUUGCAAGUCAAAGGUGAAAUCCACGCGCUCAACGUGGGAACUGCAUUUGAAACUGGAGAACUGGAGUGUGUGAGAGGAGAGUGGAAGUCCAGGUGUAGGAGUGAAAUGCGUAGAUAUCUGGAGGAACAUCAGUGGCGAAGGCGACCAGCUGGAACACAACUGACGCUGAGGAGCGAAAGCGUGGGUAGCAAACAGGAUUAGAUACCCGUGUAGUC
rnacentral:rRNA from 1 species